rnacentral:rRNA from 1 species
AAGAACAACAGGGAUUGCCUCAGUAACGGCGAGUGAAGCGGCAACAGCUCAAAUUUGAAAUCUGGCCUCUUUGGGGUCCGAGUUGUAAUUUGUAGAGGAUGUUUCGGGUACCGCCUCGGUUUAAAUUUCUUGGAACAGAAUGUCAGAGAGGGUGAGAAUCCCGUCUUGGACCGGCGGUAGGGCCCAUGUGAAACUCCUUCGACGAGUCGAGUUGUUUGGGAAUGCAGCUCAAAAUGGGUGGUAAAUUUCAUCUAAAGCUAAAUAUUGGCCAGAGACCGAUAGCGCACAAGUAGAGUGAUCGAAAGAUGAAAAGCACUUUGAAAAGAGAGUUAAACAGUAUGUGAAAUUGUUGAAAGGGAAGCGCUUACAACCAGACUUGCGCGCGGCGGUUCCCCCUUCCUUUUGGUUGGGCUACUCCGUCGUGUCCAGGCCAACAUCGGUUCUGGGGGUCGGUUAAAGACCUUGGGAAUGUACCUACCCUUCGGGCGUAGACUUAUAGCCCAGGGUGUCAUGCGACCUCCCGGGACCGAGGAACGCGCUUCGGCUCGGAUGUUGGCGUAAUGGUUGUCAGCGACCCGUCUUGAAACACGGACCAAGGAGUCUAACAUCUAUGCGAGUGUUUGGGUGUCAAACCCGGAACGCGAAAUGAAAGUGAACGGAGGUAGGAAGCCGCAAGGCUGCACUAUCGACCGAUCCUGAUGUCUUCGGAUGGAUUUGAGUAAGAGCAUAGCUGUUGGGACCCGAAAGAUGGUGAACUAUGCCUGGAUAGGGUGAAGCCAGAGGAAACUCUGGUGGAGGCUCGCAGCGGUUCUGACGUGCAAAUCGAUCGUCAAAUCUGGGUAUAGGGGCGAAAGACUAAUCGAACCAUCUGGUAGCUGGUUCCUGCCGAAGUUUCCCUCAGGAUAGCAGUAACGUUUUCAGUUUUAUGAGGUAAAGCGAAUGAUUAGAGGCCUUGGGGUUGAAACAACCUUAACCUAUUCUCAAACUUUAAAUAUGUAAGAAGUCCUUGUUGCUUAAUUGAACGUGGACAUUUGAAUGUAUCGUUACUAGUGGGCCAUUUUUGGUAAGCAGAACUGGCGAUGCGGGAUGAACCGAACGUGAGGUUAAGGUGCCGGAAUGUACGCUCAUCAGACACCACAAAAGGUGUCAAUGCAUCCAGACAGCCGGACGGUGGCCAUGGAAGUCGGAAUCCGCUUAGGAGUGUGUAACAACUCACCGGCCGAAUGCAUUGGCCCUGAAAAUGGAUGGCGCUUAAGCGUGCUACCUAUACCUCGCCGUCAGGGUUGACAUGAUGCCCUGACGAGUAGGCAGGCGUGGAGGUCCGUGACGAAGCCUUGGG